CGGUUGGUGAGGUAACGGCUCACCAAAGCAACGAUCAGUAGCUGGUCUGAGAGGACGACCAGCCACACUGGGACUGAGACACGGCCCAGACUCCUACGGGAGGCAGCAG
rnacentral:rRNA from 1 species